rnacentral:rRNA from 1 species
ACUCCUACGGGAGGCAGCAGUGGGGAAUAUUGCACAAUGGGCGCAAGCCUGAUGCAGCCAUGCCGCGUGUGUGAAGAAGGCCUUCGGGUUGUAAAGCACUUUCAGUUGUGAGGAAGGUGGUGUCGUUAAUAGCGGCAUCAUUUGACGUUAGCAACAGAAGAAGCACCGGCUAACUCCGUGCCAGCAGCCGCGGUAAUACGGAGGGUGCGAGCGUUAAUCGGAAUUACUGGGCGUAAAAGCGCAUGCAGGUGGUUUGUUAAGUCAGAUGUGAAAGCCCGGGGCUCAACCUCGGAACUGCAUUUGAAACUGGCAGACUAGAGUACUGUAGAGGGGGGUAGAAUUUCAGGUGUAGCGGUGAAAUGCGUAGAGAUCUGAAGGAAUACCGGUGGCGAAGGCGGCCCCCUGGACAGAUACUGACACUCAGAUGCGAAAGCGUGGGGAGCAAACAGGAUUAGAUACCCUGGUAGCACAGAGAAGUCGUGGGGACAAGGCACACAGGGGGGAUA